rnacentral:rRNA from 1 species
GACGAACGCUGGCGGCGUGCUUAACACAUGCAAGUCGAACGGAAAGGCCCUGCUUUUGUGGGGUGCUCGAGUGGCGAACGGGUGAGUAACACGUGAGUAACCUGCCCUUGACUUUGGGAUAACUUCAGGAAACUGGGGCUAAUACCGGAUAGGAGCUCCUGCUGCAUGGUGGGGGUUGGAAAGUUUCGGCGGUUGGGGAUGGACUCGCGGCUUAUCAGCUUGUUGGUGGGGUAGUGGCUUACCAAGGCUUUGACGGGUAGCCGGCCUGAGAGGGUGACCGGCCACAUUGGGACUGAGAUACGGCCCAGACUCCUACGGGAGGCAGCAGUGGGGAAUAUUGCACAAUGGGCGGAAGCCUGACGCAGCAACGCCGCGUGCGGGAUGACGGCCUUCGGGUUGUAAACCGCUUUCGCCUGUGACGAAGCGUGAGUGACGGUAAUGGUAAAGAAGCACCGGCUAACUACGUG